GUGUCAAUAUUACAGAAAAAUAUAUUGUGUGCUCAUUUUACAAACUCGCACAUACCUUUCUACCAUUGGUUGAGGGUGUAGACUUAUCAUAUGCAGAUCACACAUUCUAUCCAAUGGUGAAAAGAUGUGUUUUGUUCCGAUAUAUAAAAUAAAAAUGAGUACAAAUUAUACAUUCCUUCUUUGUGAGCUGAUAUAUCCAACUUGUGUUCUGACAUAUAUAGAUGUUUACUUCAUUAGUUGCUUGCCAGAUCUGCAAGAUCCGCAAUUGAAUUCAAGUAGGAUAGUCUUUUAAAGCUUACUGACACUCGUGAUUCUAACAAUAAGAUGACAUUGAUGCACUAUCUUUGCAAGGUUCUAGCUGAUAGGUCGCCUGGACUGCUUGACUUCCACUUAGACCUUGUAAGCCUGGAAGCUGCGACUAAGGAUAAUAUUGAGGAUGAUGAUAAUGAAGAUUAAGUUGAUUAUUAUUGUGGUUUAUUGGCUAAGAUAGAGUAGUGUUGGGAAUGGAUACAUGUAUAGUUGACUAAUAACUUUUAUUAGAAGAUACUUAUGUAGGAUAUAAUGUUUUAAUUUUUUAUAGAGUAUUAGUAGUAAAUUCUAAGUGAUAUCAUAGUUAUUUUGAUAUGGCUAUGUUUAUUUUAAUAUGAGAUGUAUGAAUAUUUAAAAUUAACAUUAUUCUAGUACUUUUGGAUCA